GGGCCAUAGCUCAGUGGCAGAGCAACUGCUUUGUGUGCAGAAGGUCUCAGAUGCAAUCCCUGGCAUCUUCU